GAGAGAGAGAGAGAGAGAGAGAGAGAGAGAGAGAUGACAAGGCAAAACUGAAGGAUGCCAAGAGCCACCUACACCAAUCUCAGUGGUAUAUGGCUAAUUAAUCUCUCGGCAGGAGCGAAACGUCAAAAUUGCUGAACCACAGACCCAAGACGGCUAUGAGCAGGAAGUGAGGAGCAGGCAUGCACACACACAUGGUGAUUGGGGUAUGAAGAGCCAUCGAUCUUGAAGGAGCGGGCGUAAAGGCAGUAAUGAGGCCGUGGCUGUUGCCUUCAAAAACUGACUCCAACAUGAAAAGCAUUCAGAGAGGAUGUCAGGAGUCAGCGGACCCAACAACAAUGAGAGCACUUCUCCCUCUUCAUUGCUCAACAAAAACUUAACAUUAUCAGCCUCCAUAUCAUGUGCCAUUGUCUCUGACAUGAGCCCAUUUCACAUGAUAGCAGAGCCGCCGGGGCUCAAAUUAAACGCAGGGCUUGAACGUCGCGUGUCGAGAUUGACUUUAUCGCUGGAUCUCUUGAAUGAGAACGGCGACGGGUGUUAAUGGCCUAGAAAUGUCACUCAUGCAAAGUCCAUCCACGCAAGGCGGAUUUCCAGGGGGCCGAGGAAACAUGCCUGGGCGGAGAGAACGACUGCCGCAUUGAGUGGAACCUAUAAACACAAAGAUCACAUCUCAGCUGUCGCUGUGCUUAUCUGCUCCAAGAGUCUUUUGGGGGAAAGAAUGAAGAAAUGUCUCUUUUUUAUGUAUGUAUGCAUGACGAGUUUGUUUCAUGUACAUGUGUGUAGUCAAAGCUGUUUUGGGCAUUUGAACUGAUCACAUUGUUAGGUGUGCUCUUUUUGCUCUUAGUAAGCUUUUCAAUGUGUGUAAGGUAGAAUUUGAAUUCAGUCGUCUGCUUUCCACCGUUACAUAUUCGGCAGUAGUGCUGCAACUAUAGAUUAUGCUGUAUUAUUAAUGAAUCUGUAGAUUAUGUUGUUAAAAAUCAAGGUCAAUCUAAAUAAUCAGCAUUUUUUCGCAUUCAUUUCUAACACAAUCGAUGAAAAAAAUAUAUUAUUAAUAUUCUCAUCAUGGUUCUUUUAAUUAGCUAGUCUGCCCUGGUUGAAAUGCUGUCCUCUUCCUGAGUUAGAUUUGUGACUCACAAAGAUUACAGCCAAGCAAAAGGCCACAUCAGCAUAAUGGAUUUCAGAAAAACAGCACUCCACUCCUCACGUACAAGUGCACAUGGAGUAUUUUUUUUUCAAUGUCGAUUUUUUAGACAUUACAAUGACUUCCAUUUUUUUCAGGCAACUUACACUAAACUGUCCCCAAAUUAAAGGAUCUUCUGCUUCAAAGUCUUAAAUUGGUCUGUAACUGCAGACCUAAAUAUUCCUGACUGCUCGUAUUAGAGCAAAAAGAACAGCAAAUUUAAAUUUACUGCAGCUGGAAGCAAAGUGAAAUAAAAAGUAGGCAGACGGAAAUUUUUUAUUCCAUUAUUCCCAGCGGUACCACACCAUCCAACUUUCUCUGAUCGCACAUCACCCAUUAGGACCCAUUAAUCUGCCAUCCCGUAAAAUACACCUCGUCUUUUUUGCAUAAAACACACCCCCCACAGAUUCCCCCUCCGGCUCUGUGCACUUUAACAGCCACACAAGCAGAGGCAUAUUCUUUACCCCUCCUGAGUUGGCAGCAGGUAUGUGUGUGUGUGUGUGUGUGCGUGUAUGUGUGUGUAUGUGUGUGUGUGCGUGUGUGUGUGUGUAUGUGUGUGUGUGUGAUGCUAUGUUAUGGACACCUAAGGACGUAUUUCUGCCCAUUAAGCCAGAUUUACACCCUUCUCCUACCCCCUCUGUCCUCAGGCCAUUCUGCUGUCCAUUUUUUCCUCAUCCAUAUCGUUUCCUCGAUGAUGCUUCACCCAUCUGCCCUCCUAAUCUGUUCUAAUUUUCUCCUCUCCUCUCACAAACUCUUUAUGAGCCAUUACCUUCAUUAAUUGGUACCUUUUUAUGCCCCGUUCAUAACGAUCAGCCACAGCAUCAUUGUAAAGUAAAGGUGAUUAACUAAUCCUAAAUCCAACAUGUGUGGCUGUUAUUUCAGCUUCGACGUCAUAUUUCACUUUUAAAAACUGCUGACUAUACAGAGCGAUGAAUCACUGUGCCGCCGUCCAGAGAAUGACAAAAGUCUGAGGGCAGAAUAAACAAUCACCUUUGUCCAAAACGGAGUUGUGCUGGAUCAAGUAUGCUAAUAGAACAAUGAUGAAGAGCUUUCACCUUCAUUUUUACCCUGUCUCUCUCUCUCUCUCUCUCUCUCCUUCGCUCCGUCGCUCUCUUACCGAUUCCUCAUGCAUUAAACACAGAAUUUAACCUCCGCCUACAGACAGCAAUCUCUUUCUGUACCUGGCAAGCUCUCACCCACAUGCAGGUCCACCCAUGCACUCUCUGACGAGACAGAAGCUGAGGCAGAAAGGGGGAGAGAACCACUUCACUUUUAAACAUUAAAAAUAUAUACGACACAAACCACAGGCACAGCGGAAAUAGCUGUUCGGCCCUCUUAAGAUCACUGUAGCUUCGGCAGCGUCGGUCUCAUUUGCAAAUGAAAUUACUUUCUUAAAUAAAAGCUGUAGGUGUGUAGUCAUAGCAACGUAACACUUUGCUGAGAGAGGAUACUUUGUUUAUCUGGCACUGACAUUUCUCCCCCUGUUUUGAUCUGGAAGUGUUAAUGCAUAUGACUUUUUUUUAUAUUGGCAUAUUUAGAUUCAAGCAGUCUCUUUUGUUUUGUCUGCAUGUGUACAUGUAAAUCUUAUGUCUAGCAUAGAUAAUAUAUGAACAAAUACAGAUCAAAUAACCUCAAUCCAACUCGAAAUGAUGAUACAGAAUCAAACUCCUCUAACAGAUUACUUAACCUUGUAGUUCUUUAGCCUUACAGCCCAUGGAGAAUGACCUCAAGUGCAACAGCUUGUGUGAGGGUAUAGGUUCGUUCAUUAUUAAGCACCACAUUCAGGGCAAUAAAAAAAAAGUGGCUGCAAUCUAUAGUCCCCAUAUAAUGCCACAUGGAUUGGGGCCUAAAAAUUGACACAGAAUUAGACGAAGGCUAUAAUUGAACCCAUCGCUCCAUCUGCCUGUGAUACUGGAAACUUCAUUUGCAUUUUAAUUGCGAUCAAUAAAGUGUCAUACGAGCAUAUCUGUCCAAACUAUGAUCUAUGACGAUGGAAAAUGUCACAAAAGACUGAGAAAACCUGAUAAUAUCUGCGAAACAGCAGUGGAGGGGUGGUGCAGGAGUGGUUACCAGGGGUCCUUUUGGAGUGUCCAAACGUCAACCUUUGGAGAGCGCCUCGACAUAUCCUUAGAUAGACAUGUGUAAAAGUAUUCUUAUCAAAUCUGAACUGAGACUAGGUAAGGCUUUAUGCUGUGGUGUUUUUUAGCUAAUAGGUUCCAGCAACAGUCAGUGCAGACAUUCAAUUACAACCAAAAAAUAUCAGGCGAGAAAAAAAAUCCUUCAAAUUCAGGCUUUUCAAACUUGGGUAACUCAAUGCAAGUACUGUAGCACGUAACACUGAUUCUGACCGUUAGGCAUAAACUUCAGAGUGUUACAUUUAUUUUGGGUAUGCUUUGGACAGGCAUUUUGACCAAUUCCACAGGAAUGGCAAAGGGUUGGAAGUUAUCGGCCAUAAAAGAUUUAGAAAUGGUCAAC